GAUGAACGCUGGCGGCGUGCCUAAUACAUGCAAGUCGAGCGAACGGACGAGAAGCUUGCUUCUCUGAUGUUAGCGGCGGACGGGUGAGUAACACGUGGAUAACCUACCUAUAAGACUGGGAUAACUUCGGGAAACCGGAGCUAAUACCGGAUAAUAUUUUGAACCGCAUGGUUCAAAAGUGAAAGACGGUCUUGCUGUCACUUAUAGAUGGAUCCGCGCUGCAUUAGCUAGUUGGUAAGGUAACGGCUUACCAAGGCAACGAUGCAUAGCCGACCUGAGAGGGUGAUCGGCCACACUGGAACUGAGACACGGUCCAGACUCCUACGGGAGGCAGCAGUAGGGAAUCUUCCGCAAUGGGCGAAAGCCUGACGGAGCAACGCCGCGUGAGUGAUGAAGGUCUUCGGAUCGUAAAACUCUGUUAUUAGGGAAGAACAUAUGUGUAAGUAACUGUGCACAUCUUGACGGUACCUAAUCAGAAAGCCACGGCUAACUACGUGCCAGCAGCCGCGGNUAUACGUAGGUGGCAAGCGUUAUCCGAAUUUAUUGGGCGUAAGCGCGCGUAGGCGGUUUUUUAGUCUGAUGUGAAAGCCCACGGCUCAACCGUGGAGGGUCAUUGGAAACUGGAAAACUUGAGUGCAGAAGAGGAAAGUGGAAUUCCAUGUGUAGCGGUGAAAUGCGCAGAGAUAUGGAGGAACACCAGUGGCGAAGGCGACUUUCUGGUCUGUAACUGACGCUGAUGUGCGAAAGCGUGGGGAUCAAACAGGAUUAGAUACCCUGGUAGUCCACGCCGUAAACGAUGAGUGCUAAGUGUUAGGGGGUUUCCGCCCCUUAGUGCUGCAGCUAACGCAUUAAGCACUCCGCCUGGGGAGUACGACCGCAAGGUUGAAACUCAAAGGAAUUGACGGGGACCCGCACAAGCGGUGGAGCAUGUGGUUUAAUUCGAAGCAACGCGAAGAACCUUACCAAAUCUUGACAUCCUUUGACAACUCUAGAGAUAGAGCCUUCCCCUUCGGGGGACAAAGUGACAGGUGGUGCAUGGUUGUCGUCAGCUCGUGUCGUGAGAUGUUGGGUUAAGUCCCGCAACGAGCGCAACCCUUAAGCUUAGUUGCCAUCAUUAAGUUGGGCACUCUAAGUUGACUGCCGGUGACAAACCGGAGGAAGGUGGGGAUGACGUCAAAUCAUCAUGCCCCUUAUGAUUUGGGCUACACACGUGCUACAAUGGACAAUACAAAGGGCAGCGAAACCGCGAGGUCAAGCAAAUCCCAUAAAGUUGUUCUCAGUUCGGAUUGUAGUCUGCAACUCGACUACAUGAAGCUGGAAUCGCUAGUAAUCGUAGAUCAGCAUGCCACGGUGAAUACGUUCCCGGGUCU
rnacentral:rRNA from 1 species